rnacentral:rRNA from 1 species
GCAGCCAUCAUUUAAAGAAAGCGUAAUAGCUCACUGGUCGAGUCGGCCUGCGCGGAAGAUGUAACGGGGCUAAACCAUGCACCGAAGCUGCGGCAGCGACACUGUGUGUUGUUGGGUAGGGGAGCGUUCUGUAAGCCUGCGAAGGUGGCCUGUGAGGGUUGCUGGAGGUAUCAGAAGUGCGAAUGCUGACAUAAGUAACGAUAAAGCGGGUGAAAAGCCCGCUCGCCGGAAGACCAAGGGUUCCUGUCCAACGUUAAUCGGGGCAGGGUGAGUCGACCCCUAAGGCGAGGCCGAAAGGCGUAGUCGAUGGGAAACGGGUUAAUAUUCCCGUACUUGGUGUUACUGCGAAGGGGGGACGGAGAAGGCUAUGUUGGCCGGGCGACGGUUGUCCCGGUUUAAGCGUGUAGGCUGGUUUUCCAGGCAAAUCCGGAAAAUCAAGGCUGAGGCGUGAUGACGAGGCACUACGGUGCUGAAGCAACAAAUGCCCUGCUUCCAGGAAAAGCCUCUAAGCAUCAGGUAACAUCAAAUCGUACCCCAAACCGACACAGGUGGUCAGGUAGAGAAUACCAAGGCGCUUGAGAGAACUCGGGUGAAGGAACUAGGCAAAAUGGUGCCGUAACUUCGGGAGAAGGCACGCUGACACGUAGGUGAAGUGAUUUACUCAUGGAGCUGAAGUCAGUCGAAGAUACCAGCUGGCUGCAACUGUUUAUUAAAAACACAGCACUGUGCAAACACGAAAGUGGACGUAUACGGUGUGACGCCUGCCCGGUGCCGGAAGGUUAAUUGAUGGGGUCAGCGCAAGCGAAGCUCCUGAUCGAAGCCCCGGUAAACGGCGGCCGUAACUAUAACGGUCCUAAGGUAGCGAAAUUCCUUGUCGGGUAAGUUCCGACCUGCACGAAUGGCGUAAUGAUGGCCAGGCUGUCUCCACCCGAGACUCAGUGAAAUUGAACUCGCUGUGAAGAUGCAGUGUACCCGCGGCAAGACGGAAAGACCCCGUGAACCUUUACUAUAGCUUGACACUGAACAUUGAGCCUUGAUGUGUAGGAUAGGUGGGAGGCUUUGAAGUGUGGACGCCAGUCUGCAUGGAGCCGACCUUGAAAUACCACCCUUUAAUGUUUGAUGUUCUAACGUGGACCCGUAAUCCGGGUUGCGGACAGUGUCUGGUGGGUAGUUUGACUGGGGCGGUCUCCUCCUAAAGAGUAACGGAGGAGCACGAAGGUUGGCUAAUCCUGGUCGGACAUCAGGAGGUUAGUGCAAUGGCAUAAGCCAGCUUGACUGCGAGCGUGACGGCGCGAGCAGGUGCGAAAGCAGGUCAUAGUGAUCCGGUGGUUCUGAAUGGAAGGGCCAUCGCUCAACGGAUAAAAGGUACUCCGGGGAUAACAGGCUGAUACCGCCCAAGAGUUCAUAUCGACGGCGGUGUUUGGCACCUCGAUGUCGGCUCAUCACAUCCUGGGGCUGAAGUAGGUCCCAAGGGUAUGGCUGUUCGCCAUUUAAAGUGGUACGCGAGCUGGGUUUAGAACGUCGUGAGACAGUUCGGUCCCUAUCUGCCGUGGGCGCUGGAGAACUGAGGGGGGCUGCUCCUAGUACGAGAGGACCGGAGUGGACGCAUCACUGGUGUUCGGGUUGUCAUGCCAAUGGCACUGCCCGGUAGCUAAAUGCGGAAGAGAUAAGUGCUGAAAGCAUCUAAGCACGAAACUUGCCCCGAGAUGAGUUCUCCCUGAGACUUAGAGUCUCCUGAAGGAACGUUGAAGACGACGACGUUGAUAGGCCGGGUGUGUAAGCGCAGCGAUGCGUUGAGCUAACCGGUACUAAUGAACCGUGAGGCUUAACCUUACAACGCCGAAG